rnacentral:rRNA from 1 species
CCUACGGGUGGCAGCAGUGAGGAAUAUUGGUCAAUGGUCGGGAGACUGAACCAGCCAAGCCGCGUGAGGGAUGAAGGUACAGAGUAUCGUAAACCUCUUUUGUCAGGGAACAAAGGCGGGGACGUGUCCCCGGAUGAGUGUACCUGAAGAAAAAGCAUCGGCUAACUCCGUGCCAGCAGCCGCGGUAAUACGGAGGAUGCGAGCGUUAUCCGGAUUUAUUGGGUUUAAAGGGUGCGCAGGGGGUCUGUUAAGUCAGAGGUCAAAGCCCGGGGCUCAACCCCGGCCCGCCGUUGAAACUGGCAGUCUCCAGUUGGAGAGAAGUAUGCGGAAUGCGCGGUGUAGCGGUGAAAUGCAAAGAUA